rnacentral:ncRNA from 1 species
ACCUCCUGCCGGGGGUGGGGAAGAAUAGGGAAUCCGGUGCAAGACCGGAGCAGACACCGCUGCUGUAAGUCCCGCUUUCAACCACGGCCAUCCAGAGUCACUGUCCUUCGGGACGGGAAGACGCCGUGGAGGGGACAAGCCAGAAGACCUGCCGGGAUCGUU